AACGAACGCUGGCGGCAGGCUUAACACAUGCAAGUCGAGCGAAGACUUCGGUCUUAGCGGCGGACGGGUGAGUAACGCGUGGGAACAUACCCUUUGCUACGGAACAGUCCCGGGAAACUGGGUUUAAUACCGUAUACGCCCUUCGGGGGAAAGAUUUAUCGGCAAAGGAUUGGCCCGCGUUGGAUUAGGUAGUUGGUGGGGUAAAGGCCUACCAAGCCGACGAUCCAUAGCUGGUUUGAGAGGAUGAUCAGCCACACUGGGACUGAGACACGGCCCAGACUCCUACGGGAGGCAGCAGUGGGGAAUCUUAGACAAUGGGGGCAACCCUGAUCUAGCCAUGCCGCGUGAGUGAUGAAGGCCUUAGGGUUGUAAAGCUCUUUUGUCAGGGACGAUGAUGACGGUACCUGACGAAUAAGCCACGGCUAACUACGUGCCAGCAGCCGCCGUAAUAC
rnacentral:rRNA from 1 species